rnacentral:pre_miRNA from 1 species
AAUAAAUGUAGUUUUGCACUGUUCACGUUUAAUGUUUGACCGCUCGUCUUAUUUGAAAUUUUUCUAUGAUUAGUAUUUUUUUUGUUGUUAGUAGAUGAUAAAACAUAAAUAGUACUUUAUGUGUGACUAUUUUUUUAAUAUUUUUAUAAAUUUUUCAAAUAAGACGGACGGUCAAACCUUCGACACGGAUUNN